AUUGAACGCUGGCGGUAUGCUUAACACAUGCAAGUCGAACGAUGAGAAAGAGCUUGCUCUUUCGAUUAGUGGCGGACGGGUGCGUAACGCGUAGGAAUCUACCUAUUAGUGGGGGACAACUUAGGGAAACUUAAGCUAAUACCGCAUACGCCCUACGGGGGAAAGAAGGGGAUCGCAAGACCUUUUGCUAAUAGAUGAGCCUGCGUAGGAUUAGCUAGUUGGUGGGGUAAAAGCUCACCAAGGCGACGAUCCUUAACUGGUUUGAGAGAAUGAGCAGUCACACUGGAACUGAGACACGGGCCAGACUCCUACGGGAGGCAGCGAGGGGUAAUAUUGGACAAUGGGCGAAGGCCUGAUCCAGCAAUACCGCGUGUGUGAAGAAGGCCUUAGGGUUGUAAAGCACUUUCAAUUGGAAGGAAAACCUCGAAGCUAAUACCUUCGAGUUUGACAUUACCUUUAGAAGAAGCACCGGCUAACUCCGUGCCAGCCGCCGCGGUAA
rnacentral:rRNA from 1 species